GGUGAGGCAGAGAGGCCAAAUGGUGUCUGGUGUCUGGUGGCUGAGCGCGGUACGGUGGUGAUGUGGCUGAGCGCGGUACGGUGGUGAUGUGGCUGAGCGCUGUACGGUGGUGAUGUGGCUGAGCGCGGUACGGUGUGUGAUGUGGCUGAGCGCGGUACGGUGGUGAUGUGGCUGAGCGCUGUACGGUGGUGAUGUGGCUGAGCGCGGUACGGUGUGUGAUGCGGUGGAGUUGAAAGGGAAGUCAGCACCAGCACAGCCAGGGUUCUAAGAUGAAGGCCCAACGCAUGCACAGGGUUCUAAGAUGAAGGCCCGACACAUACACAGGAGGCUU
ensembl:lncRNA